AGAUAGUAGUCGAGUUGGCAACCACAUUUAAGCAUCACAGGAUGGUUAGGCAAGUGUCCCCUUCCUCCUUCACUAUUCAUAUGAGUUCCUCUCAGAGCUGCAUGCCGUGGAAGACAGUGAUCUUCCCCAAUAGAGGAGGACCAUUCUUGGGUCAAGGGGAUCUGAGUAGCUAUGUGUCCUUGCCAGAACCUCCAAAUAAGCCCUCAGAUGCCAGUGGCCAUGUCAGAGGAACAGCAAGUGGCAGUUGAAGUUCAAGGUGUCAGCCCACCAGGAGGAAAUCUCAGACAGGCAAGGCCCCCAAGACCACAGACUCUGGAAUGUCUUUUGCU
rnacentral:snRNA from 1 species